rnacentral:rRNA from 1 species
UGGGGAAUAUUGCACAAUGGAGGGAACUCUGAUGCAGCGACGCCGCGUGAACGAAGAAGGCUUUCGAGUCGUAAAGUUCUUUUAUAUGGGAAGAUAAUGACGGUACCAUAAGAAAAAGCCCCGGCUAACUACGUGCCAGCAGCCGCGGUAAUACGUAGGGGGCUAGCGUUGUCCGGAAUCACUGGGCGUAAAGGGUUCGCAGGCGGAAAUGCAAGUCAGGUGUAAAAGGCAGUAGCUUAACUACUGUAAGCAUUUGAAACUGCAUAUCUUGAGAAGAGUAGAGGUAAGUGGAAUUUUUAGUGUAACGGUGAAAUGCGUAGAUAUUAAAAAGAAUACCGGUGGCGAAGGCGACUUACUGGGCUCAUUCUGACGCUGAGGAACGAAAGCGUGGGGAGCAAACAGG